GAUGAAGAAUGCAACGGUUGGAAAUA
rnacentral:piRNA from 1 species